rnacentral:rRNA from 1 species
GAUGAACGCUAGCUACAGGCUUAACACAUGCAAGUCGAGGGGCAGCAUGUCGGUUGCUUGCAACCGAUGAUGGCGACCGGCGCACGGGUGAGUAACGCGUAUCCAACCUACCCUUGUCCAUCGGAUAACCCGUCGAAAGGCGGCCUAACACGAUAUGCGGUUCUCAGCAGGCAUCUAACGAGAACGAAAUGUGAAGGAGAAGGAUGGGGAUGCGUCUGAUUAGCUUGUUGGCGGGGUAACGGCCCACCAAGGCUACGAUCAGUAGGGGUUCUGAGAGGAAGGUCCCCCACAUUGGAACUGAGACACGGUCUUAACUCCUACUGGAGGCAGCUUUUUAUGAAUAUUGAUCCAUGCACGGG